AUUGAACGCUGGCGGCAGGCCUAACACAUGCAAGUCGAGCGGAUGAAGAGAGCUUGCUCUCUGAUUUAGCGGCGGACGGGUGAGUAAUGCCUAGGAAUCUGCCUGGUAGUGGGGGAUAACGUUCCGAAAGGAACGCUAAUACCGCAUACGUCCUACGGGAGAAAGCAGGGGACCUUCGGGCCUUGCGCUAUCAGAUGAGCCUAGGUCGGAUUAGCUAGUUGGUGAGGUAAUGGCUCACCAAGGCGACGAUCCGUAACUGGUCUGAGUGGAUGAUCAGUCACACUGGAACUGGGACACGGUCCAGACCCCUACGGGAGGCAGCAGUGGGGAAUAUUGGACAAUGGGCGAAAGCCCGAUCCAGCCAUGCCGCGUGUGUGAAGAAGGUCUUCGGAUUGUAAAGCACUUUAAGUUGGGAGGAAGGGCAGUAAGUUAAUACCUUGCUGUUUUGACGUUACCGACAGAAUAAGCACCGGCUAACUUCGUGCCAGCCGCCGCGGUAAUAC
rnacentral:rRNA from 1 species